CCUCCUCCUCCUAUUGGUGACCAUGGACCUGACCCAGUAUUGUGCAGGUUCACGCUGGCUGCAGACUUUCAACACUGUGAUUGCGGAACCUCGCAAGUCAGCGCACCAGUUCAUCCAGGUCAGCUAUGUAGACUCGAUACAGUUUCAGGGAUUCGACAGCCAAGCUCCCAAUGCAAAGAUGCGACCUCGGGCUGCUUGGAUGGAGCAGGAGCCACCUGAAUACUGGGAGAAGGGAACAGCACAAGCCCCGCGCUUGUCACUGACAAACCAACGAGUCCUUCAGUUCCUGGUGAUUGAGAAUAAACACAGCAAGAGGAAUAUCACACCCUGCAGGAAUUGUUUGGCUGCAAUGUAGCAAAUGAUGGGAGCUUCCUCCGCGGUCAAUACCGGCUCACCUACUAUGGCUAUGAUAACAUCAUCCUGAAUGAGGACCUGAGCUCUUGGACCACAGAGGGAUCUGCAGCACAAGACCUGAUGAAGUACUCGGAGACCGGAGGCAUGGCAGAAAGCUGGAGGACUUACCUGCUACGGGAGUGCACAGAAAGGCUUAUUAGAUGCCUGGAACUUGGAAAGGAGACAUUGCUGCGCUCUUAUGCCCCCCAAAACACAUCUGACCCACCAAGUAAGACCUGAUGGCAAUGUCACCCUGAGGUGCUGGGCCUUAGGCUUCUACCCAGCUGACAUCACCCUGACCUGGCAGAGGGAUGGCAAAAACCACACCCAGGACAUGGAGCUGCCAGACACCAGGCCAGCAGGGGAUGGAACCUUCCAGAAAUGGGCAGUAGUGAUAGUUCCUUCUGGAGAGGAGCAGAGAUACACGUGUCAUGUGCACCAUGAAGGAUUACCUGAGCCUCUCACUCUGAAGUGGGAGCCUUCAACAACCAUCCCCAUCAUGGCAAUUCUCACUGGCCUGAUUCUUGGGACUUUGGUGAUGGGAACUGUGGUGUAUCUUCUGGUAUGGAAGAAAUAA